rnacentral:rRNA from 1 species
GGGGAUGGUAAAAGUGCCUUGUUCUGGGAUGACAUGUGGCACCAAUUUGUCCUUAAACACAAGUUCCAUCACCUUCAUACCUUUGUUAGAAAUCCACACUUAAAUGUCCAUCAAGUAAUCAACACUGAAUAUCUUCAAGACCUCUUCUAUCUACCACUGACAACACAAGCAUAUGAGGAAUUCUUGGAAAUGGAAAAUAUAUGCAUUACAUUAAGACAGUCUGAUUACUUGGACUUGAUGGACACAUGGAACUAUAUAUGGGGAAAUGAAUUCUACUCUUCCAUUAAAGCCUACAAUGUACUGAUUGGACACAAACAAACACCACCACACUUCAACUUGAUCUGGAGGAGCUCCUGUUAG